AUUGAACGCUGGCGGCAGGCCUAACGCAUGCCAGUCGAGCGGAUGAAGGGAGCUUGCUCCUGGAUUCAGCGGCGGACGGGUGAGUAAUGCCUAGGAAUCUGCCUGGUAGUGGGGGAUAACGUCCGGAAACGGGCGCUAAUACCGCAUACGUCCUGAGGGAGAAAGUGGGGGAUCUUCGGACCUCACGCUAUCAGAUGAGCCUAGGUCGGAUUAGCUAGUUGGUGGGGUAAAGGCCUACCAAGGCGACGAUCCGUAACUGGUCUGAGAGGCUGAUCAGUCACCCUGGAACUGGGACACGGUCCAUGCUCCUACGGGAGGCAGCAGUGGGGAAUAUUGGACAAUGGGCGAAAGCCUGAUCCAGCCAUGCCGCGUGUGUGAAGAAGGUCUUCGGAUUGUAAAGCACUUUAAGUUGGGAGGAAGGGCAGUAAGUUAAUACCUUGCUGUUUUGACGUUACCUACAGAAUAAGCACCGGCUAACUUCGUG
rnacentral:rRNA from 1 species